rnacentral:lncRNA from 1 species
CCUGCGCGACUGACAUAUAGAUCAUAAAAUAUUUCCAUACACUAAAUAUAGUUGACCUAUGGCAUAUAGUAUUAGAUAAAAAGACCAAACUCAAAAACUUAACUUUGACCACUCAACCAUGAAAAUGAGGUCAAGGUCAGAUGACAUCUGCCCGCUAGACAUGUACACCUUACAAUCAUUCCAUACAACAAAUAUAGUAGAUCUAUUGCAUAAAGUAUGAGAAAAACAGACCAAAACACAAAAACUUAACUAUAACCACUGAACCAUGAAAAUGAGUUCAAGGUCAGAUGACACCUGCCAGUUGGACAUGUACACCUUACAGUCCUUCCAUACACCGAAUAUACUAGACCUAUUGCUUAUAGUAUCUG